CAAGGAGGUACAACUCAGACUUCCUGUGAGGGGAGUGGGGGCUCAGCCGUGGGUGAGUUAUCAUCUAAUCACACGUGUUGAGAAGCUGAGGUGCUGACGACUGUGAAGCCUCUCCUUCAAGACGGGGUUUCUUUUAGGGCAGCAUUAUUACUAAUACCUUCACUCUACAGCUUUUUGCAGUCCUGGGCGCCACGGUGAGCAAACACAUUUCCUGGGCAGCGUGGAAGGCACAUAGCAGAUAGCUAGCAGUUGUGUGCAAAAUGGACUGUGAAAUACACCAUCUUGGAACAGGCACAUAACUGGUCUAAGCAGUCUCCACAGACUGAAGCUGCUAGUCACUGAACCAGGACUUAAGGGCCCGCCUCUGUGCUCAAACAUCCCCCACAAUUACAGAUUAAAAACAACCCUUCCUUCAUGGCUGCAAGUGCAGGGAAACACAGAGUUGCCUGAAGAUCUGAAUGCGGCAUGAAACGUUCUCAGAGUUCAAGGUCUUGGAACAGAUCGUUCAUGAAGCCAGUCUUAUGAUUCACAGUCCUGGGUUCACUCUGUGGUCAAACCAGAAAAAAAUUAGAAGGAAGCCAGGUAUCUGGAAUGAAUUAACUCCCCCUCCCUUCCUCCCGCUUGCCCUCCUUCCCUCUUCUCCUUUCCCUUUCUCUUCCUUUUUCUCUCUCUCCCUCUCUCCUCUUUCUCUUUCUAAUUAUGAGGAGUACUGGAAAUUCAAACAGCUGGACCUUACAAUCAAACCUCUGUAUCUGAAUUUUCCACACCAAUGGUUCCAACGAUAAGGAACAAAAAUCUUUGGGAAGAGCAUCAGGACUGAAGAUGGAAGAAUCUCUACUUGUCCUCAUCCCCGAGGCAUGGCAUUCCCAGGGUUUCUGUUGCUGCGAACAGACAUCAUGACCACAGAAGCACUUAGAAAGGAAACGUUUCAUUUGGGUGGCUUACAGCUCAGAGGUUCAGUCCAUUAUCAUCAUGGUGGGACAUGGCAGCAUGCAGGCAUCAUGGAGGCAGACACGGUGCUGGAGAAGGAACUGAGAGUCCUACAUCUUGAUCCACAGAUGCUGUGUUUACAGGCAUGUGCAGCCAUGAUCAGCUUUUUACGUGGGUGUUGGGGAGUCAAACUGGAGUCCUCAUGUUUGUAGAGCAAAUAAUUAUUUGCUGAAAACCGUGUACAAGUUUCCAGCUUUUUAAAGAUUUCAGUUCAGUAGUGGUAUGGGUUUUACCCCUUUACUUAGCCUUCAUUCUUUUGCUUUUCAAAGUUUUACUGAGGCAUUUUUGACAAGCAAUAAACUGAGCAUACUCAAAGUCUGCAGUCAGCCCUCCGUGUCUGUAGGCUUUGUAAAUUCAAACCACUAUGAAUUGGAAAUAUUUUUUAAUUGCGCCUAUGCUGAAUUCGUACCGACCCUGUCCCCUUGUGAUCGUUCCC
rnacentral:lncRNA from 1 species